UUUUACUCGUACUGGUCGAUGCGGAAAACAGACUGUUGCCGUUAUAUACUUUCAGGGCUGCCAAACCAGUGCAUGGCGGUGGAACAGGGGGCUAGGGGGGGGCUUUACCCCCCCCCCCCCCAGAAGUAAAAGUGGGGGGCUUAUCCCCCCAAAAAAUACACGAAGAAUGCAUAAAUGAGAGACCAUUUAUACAAACUACAAAGUCGUCAAAUUACUGAUCGCCGGCUAAUAUGCAAACGAAAAUAUCCUACUUUGUGACCAAGUGAAUGUAAAGUGAUUUUCUUUCACCCUGAGUAUAUCUUUUAUCUAUACAGUGAAUACUACAAUGUCAGAGUACUGGCCUUUGUGGUUAUUUAGGAAAUGGGA